rnacentral:lncRNA from 1 species
UUGGGCAGCUCUGCAGGCUGUGCUUCCCAUCCUACUGCAGAGCCUUGCACAGAGUGAGCUUGGCCUUGGCUCUAUACAGCGAUAAAACCAAACACCUUCUGAUUGUGGCUCUUUUCAAGUCUCCUGCUGUCAUAAGAUGACUUUUUUAACCCCGGUAGUUCUUUCAAUCAAACAUACAACACAGGUCUCUUUUAAAAGGACAGCAAUGCAGCAGCAAGGCAAGUUACAACAAGCACUCAGAGAUAAUGCCUGGUCUGGUGGACAUCUGCAGGUGAGUGAUCCAGGCUGCAGGCCUCUCCUGGAGUGGAGAAUAUGGUUUCUCAGUGUAGGGCCUGGGACAAGCUCCUAAUGCUGGGUUACACAACCUGGCAUCAGAAACACUCACUGCUCUUGCUUUCUAUGUGCUGGAAGGGCUAAAUCUAUCAAAGCUGCAGCUGGAAACAGCUUGGGAAAAUCCUGCAUCACAUUUGAAUGUCUGGGAUGAAAGGGUGCCAGCAUGCUUGCACAUCAUGCCAAGCUGAGCCAGCAGAGGCUCUCAAGUUUCUUCUGUCUUUGUACAAUUAAGGUCAUGCUCAGCAUUAAAGCACUGCUCAGAUCCCCAGACUUUGCAGCUGCACGGCCACACUGAAGAAGGUGCAGCUCCUUUGAACACCUCUAAGCCAGCUGUCAACUUAAGCCAUGCUUUUCAAGGGGCUGGGAACUGGCUGCAGGUCACUGCUGACUGAUCCCCUUGGUCUUCUGUGUCUCAGUGGUCCCUUUGCUGAGUGGAGUCAUGCCAGCAUUCUAGCCUAGCACAUGCAGUUAUUCCUCUCUUCUUGCCAUCAGCCAGCUCCCUACAGCAAAGCCUCCCAGUGAUGACAAGCAUCUUCCCCCAUCCUGCAGAAAGAGCGAGGGAGAAAGACAAUUAACAAAAUGAGAGACCUGCCAGAGUCUGGAAAAAGCACCCAUCUGGCAGGAUCUAGCAGCUCCACCCUCAGGGAAUCUGCAUUUCUGACAUUCAAUCUGCCUGCUUGAGGGAAUACCCUCCUAGAAUCAGCCACAAGCAGAGAGACUUGUGAGCCAGUUCUGUACAGCUUGGUCUAAGUAAGGGUCCUCCCAGCUCUAUCUCCAGCCAAACAAAAACAAAGGCUCUUUUCUUCUGAAAUAUACAGGAGGUCAUGAGCUAACCUGCAGCUGUAUUUUCAGCUCUGACACUGCUUUUCGGCUCUGCUGCUUGUGUUUGUGCUUGGCUGCUUCCUCCUUUCCAAAUUCAGAGGUGGGUUGCCUUUGUUUCCUUAAGAAAGAAGGAAGAUAUUUGGAUAUGGUCUUACAGGAAAAGAUCAGAUGCAGUUUAUAGCAUCUUGCACCAAAGGAGCACUGAGAACAACUAGAAUCAUCAAACUCAUCUGAGCUUGAGUCAGUAGCCAGAUUUUUCCAAGGUGCAGGUGACCCAGUAAGAGGGAUAGGUGAGCAGUCACCAAGGCAGGUUCCCAGCUGCAGUAUAGACCCUGAGAACAGAAAAUUUUCAAUCCUGGAGACAUCUCUAUAACUAAGACUUUUUCCACUGAUUGGAGAGAAUGAUCUCUUCUUUGGUAUGAAGCAGCUCUGCAGACCAGCAGACCAAGCUGUAAAUGGAGCCCCAGGGAACCAGACUACUCCAAACUGGUGCAGUUUUUGAACUGUGGGGAUGAAUCAUCCAAAUAACUUUCUUCAGGCAAUACAGGGAACAAAUGUCACUAACCAUGUGAAAAUUGAGACCAUAUGCUUCUAGGAUGUUUUUAGAAAGGAGUACCCUUGACAGAGCUAGAGUGACUUCAAGGCUGGUUCCCAGGCCAGACCCCAGCAGAGCAGUCCCUCCUCUGCUGGUUCCAGGGAGUCUCUCUUGACUCUGGCCAUUAUUUUCACUGCAGCCAGUAUCUAUUUUUCUCCACUACCUGGUGAAAGGCUGCAAGUCCUUCAAGGCCAAGACAGAGCUUGUGUUUUGUUUGUUUGGAAAAAAAUAAAUGCCAGGAAAAAAACCA